AACUUAUAGUUAUUAAUACAUAUUUGAUAGCUUAUUAAAUACUUUCAAUGUUUAGUCUAGUCAUUCAAUUAAAAAAAUUAUACAUAGUACCAAGGAGUUAGCAAUAAACUUUUUUUUUUCUUUUUUUUGAGACAGGGCCUUGCUCUGUCACCCAGGCUAGAGUGCAGUGGCACAAUCAUAGCUCACUGCAGCCUUGAUCUCCUGGGUUCAAGUGAUUCUCCCACCUCAGCCUCCGAAGUAGCUGGGAGGUUUUAAAGGAGAGAAUAAUGUGGAAAGGAAAAAAGAGAAGAAGCACAACCCAAAGGGGUUGGCCGGGCCUAUGGUUGGAAUGAGGAAGGGUGUGG
rnacentral:lncRNA from 1 species